AAACCAUGAUGAGGACAAAGGUGCUACAAAUCAUUGAAUCUUUCCCAAGCUUCAGACAAUGACUCUCCAGGAUCUUGGGUGAAAGUCACUAUCUCAUGGCGCAU
rfam:Beta vulgaris subsp. vulgaris Bvchr8_un.sca015.con0005.1, whole genome shotgun sequence.